GACGAACGCUGGCGGCAUGCUUAACACAUGCAAGUCGAACGGAAAGGCCCUGCUUGCAGGGUACUCGAUUGGCGAACGGGUGAGUAACGCGGAGGUGAUCUGCCCUGCACUUCGGGAUAAGCCGGGGAAACUUGCUCUAAUACCGGCUAGGAGCUAUUUGUAGUGUGUUGGUUCGAAAGUUUUUUCGUUGUAGGAUGAGCUCGCGGCCUAUCAGCUUGUUGGUGGGGUAAUGGCCUACCAAGGCGGCGACGGGUAGCCGGCCUGAGAGGGUGGACGGCCACAUUGGGACUGAGAUACGGCCCAGACUCCUACGGGAGGCAGCAGUGGGGAAUAUUGCACAAUGGGCGCAAGCCUGAUGCAGCGACGCCGCGUGGGGGAUGACGGCCUUCGGGUUGUAAACUCCUUUCGCUAGGGACGAAGCUUUUGUGACGGUACCUAGAUAAGAAGCACCGGCUAACUACGUG
rnacentral:rRNA from 1 species